GAUUGGGUGCACCGAGGUGGAGGGCCAUGCCGGGUUUCGGGUUCCCCGGGGUCCGUUCCGGAGAACCCUUGGCACUCCAGAACUGGGGUCUGCGCUGGCCUCCUCCUCGGGCGACUGGGCCCUGUGGCAACAGCGCCUUCUCGAGCCACGAGAUUGGCCGCCUGGAGCCUGCCUGGUGCGGGCCUCUCUCCAGCGCGGUAUGGUGAAACACCAGUUGCUGUGAAGAUA